GCAAACUUGGUCAUUUAGAGGAAGUAAAAGUCGUAACAAGGUUUCCGUAGGUGAACCUGCGGAAGGAUCAUUAACGAGUUGAACGGGGUUGUAGCUGGCCUUCACGGGCAUGUGCACACCUCACUCAUCCACUCUACACCUGUGCACUUACUGUGGGUUUCGAGAGGCCGCGCUUGCGUGGUUGAUCGGGCUCACGUCUAUUACAAACUCUUCAGUAUCAGAAUGUGUAUCGCGAUGUAACGCAUCUAUAUACAACUUUCAGCAACGGAUCUCUUGGCUCUCGCAUCGAUGAAGAACGCAGC
rnacentral:misc_RNA from 1 species